rnacentral:lncRNA from 1 species
UUCUAUAUGAGAUCCAAAACAUAAUUAAUAAGAUAUGUUUUUAUAUGCAUGCUACUUUUUUAAUCUUCAAAAAGAGAAGCAACGACUAUUGAAAUUGAGAUCUGAUUUUGCCAUGUACGAAUUAAAUAUGUUUAUUAAUGUUUUUGUAUACGGUACAGUUGACUCUUUAUCUUAAUGAUAAUUGGACUGACAAAAAUCUUAUCUUUGAUUUGCAAACUAAAAUUGUGUUACAGUUGUAGAUUAUUAAUUGUUUUUUGAUAUAUAAAUGAAACUUCCAUUUUUAUUGUAUUCUGAAAAAUAUCCAGUACAUCAUUUGACAAUAUCUUAUGGGUUAAAUGUCAAAUAACUAUCAUUUUCUGAAAUAAUCUCCAAAAGAAAGUGAUGGAUCUGAACUCUUAACUGUAUGACAAUUUUGCAAUCUUCCAUAAAAAAUUGACAAAAAUGUUUAAAACUGUUAGAUAAAGUAUCACUUACUAUUAUUUGAUAUAAUAAUAUUUAAAUGACAAUGGAUGUGUAAAACUUUAUCAUUAUUUAUAUAGUAGUUGAAGUUCUAUUUUAAACAUUUAGAAUUUACUUACAAAGAACAUGUAUCCUUUAGUUAAAUAAUAGGGCAACUGAAUCAUAUGUGAAGCUAGGUACUGGUUUUAAAUUUAAAGAAAGUAACAUAGAAAAGAAGGAGAUAGUUACAUUUAUAUAACAUUGUAUUUACUAUAUAAGAGGGUUAUACCACUUUGAUAUUAAUUAAUAAUUAUAUCUUUAUUUUUGUCUAAUCUAUAUAGUAGCAAUAUAAUAAAAAAUAAUACUAUUAUACCAAGUCCUAUAUACAGUUGUUGUUAGUCCAAGGGAUUUUAUUUCAUCUAAAUUGGAGGCCUUCACUAAACUGAUUUGUUUCUUUGAAUUUAACUGGUCAAUCAUGUACAAUACUUGAUUCAGGAAUGUUCCUUUACUGAGUAACAAAUUUUGUUUCUCUCAAGUUGAUGACAUGAAACCAUCAAGGGUAUAUUAUGUUAAUUUAUUGUUAUUUUAUUACCGGUAAAUCUAAUCUUUAAUGGCAAUCAUAUAUCAAUACUACCUUAUGGAAAAAUCAGGUUUUUAUAGUGUAUCAUUGCUUUUUGACAACCUUAUUUUUCAUGCUUUUCAUUUAAAAAGAAAUAUUUGCCUUAUAGCUAGUCUUAUUACUGGGUCAUUGUUAUUUUAUGGAUGUAAAUGAAAACAUAUAUCAAUUUAUCCUUGUUAUUGAUUUAUGCUUUUGAUUGUUGACUGCAUUUAGCAUUUAGGAUUAAUUAACUAAUUUCAAUUCACUUUUCAAAUGAACAAAGAUUUUUUAUAUUUACAUGUGAUAUA